rnacentral:lncRNA from 1 species
AAAUAAGAAUGAAAUGUCACCUUCAAGCUUGUUACGUGAUAGGUCGAUCACAGUGAAAUUCAUGCGGUCAAAAGAUUUUGGGACAGAGCCGGUGAGUUGGUUGUGGGAGAGAUAAAGGUAGAAGUCUUCUCCGGCGAAGUUUCCGAAGGACUCCGGGAUAUUCCCAGUGAGUCUGUUCCGGUCCAAAUGAAGGGCGCCGAGGUUGGGGAGGAGAGAGAGUGACGGAGGGAUUGAACCGGUGAGCUGGUUGAACGAUAAGUCGAGGUACGUUAAGUUUUUGAGCUGGCUAAAGAACGUCGGAACUGGACCGGUGAGAUUGGUCCAGCUCAGUCUCACCAUUUUGAGGUUGGAGAGUUUGGCAAUGGCAGACGGGAUUUGUCCGGUGACAUUAGUGAGAUGCCGAAAGAUUAGGGUUUCUAAAUAAGGGAGGUCUCCGACUGCUGCCGGAAUCUGGCCGGAGAUGUUACCAGAGAAGAUGGUCAGGGCAUUUACGCGGUUUGUUUUGAGGUCACACUCCAGGCAGUACCAAUCACAGCAGUCAUUGUCCGGGUUCCAUGAGGCUAAAUGGUAAGGGUUGUUCAGGGAUUUUUUGAUUUGUAGGAGGACUUUUUUGUCCUUUGGGUUGCAGCGAUCGGAGAGAGUAGGAGACGGCAGGGAGAGAACGGAAAUAAGAAAGAGGCAGAGUAUGGAAAUCAGCGAGUUGUUCGUCAUGUUGAAUUGGUAGCAACUAAGAAAUUGAGUUCCAUGUAUAUAUAUAUAAAAAUAAUUUCUCCGACGAACCAAAAAAGACAAACCCAGAUCC